CAAGCCUCUGCUAAUGUGUACCUAGUUUAUACUAAGUGACCCAUAGGUUGAGGAGGCGGUGACUGUGGUGGUGGAGGAGGAGGAUGAGGUAGCCAACACUGUUUUUAUAUAUAGAUAUUUUAAUUGGGGUAGCCAAAAAAGACAACUCUGUUCCGCAGAGUAGCUGUUGACAUUAUAGUUGCGCAGGAACUUUGUUUACUCUAGAGAACCUAGGGCAAAUCGCACAUCCCUGUGGCGGCAACUUUGCAUGCGGAUGUCAUCCAUAUCAACUUUUGAUGCCAGUUUCUGCGCCUAUCAUGGUGACCACGGGUAAUGAGGAGUCAGGGUUCCAUUCCGUACAGGGACCCUGAGAAACAACUACCACAUGCAAGGAAGGCAG